AGAUUGAACGCUGGCGGCAUGCUUUACACAUGCAAGUCGAACGGUAACAGGCCGCAAGGUGCUGACGAGUGGCGAACGGGUGAGUAAUGCAUCGGAACGUGCCCAGUCGUGGGGGAUAACGCAGCGAAAGCUGUGCUAAUACCGCAUACGAUCUAUGGAUGAAAGCGGGGGACCGAAAGGCCUCGCGCGAUUGGAGCGGCCGAUGUCAGAUUAGCUAGUUGGUGGGGUAAAGGCCCACCAAGGCGACGAUCUGUAGCUGGUCUGAGAGGACGACAG
rnacentral:rRNA from 1 species